rnacentral:tRNA from 1 species
UGGCGGUGUGGCGCAGCCUGGUAGCGCGUCGGGUUCAUACCCCGAAGGUCUCUGGUUCGAAUCCAGACACCGCAACCA